GAUGAACGCUGGCGGCGUGCCUAAUACAUGCAAGUCGAGCGAAUGGAUUAAGAGCUUGCUCUUAUGAAGUUAGCGGCGGACGGGUGAGUAACACGUGAGUAACCUGCCCAUAAGACUGGGAUAACUCCGGGAAACCGGGGCUAAUACCGGAUAACAUUUUGAACCGCAUGGUGCGAAAUUGAAAGGCGGCUUCGGCUGUCACUUAUGGAUGGACCCGCGUCGCAUUAGCUAGUUGGUGAGGUAACGGCUCACCAAGGCAACGAUGCGUAGCCGGCCUGAGAGGGUGAUCGGCCACACUGGGACUGAGACACGGCCCAGACUCCUACGGGAGGCAGCAGUAGGGAAUCUUCCGCAAUGGACGAAAGUCUGACGGAGCAACGCCGCGUGAGUGAUGAAGGCUUUCGGGUCGUAAAACUCUGUUGUUGGGGAAGAACAAGUGCUAGUUGAAUAAGCUGGCACCUUGACGGUACCUAACCAGAAAGCCACGGCUAACUACGUGCCAGCAGCCGCCGUAA
rnacentral:rRNA from 1 species